rnacentral:RNase_P_RNA from 1 species
CGAGGAGGACGGACGGUCGCCGCUGUGCCGGAGCAAUUUGGCGCAGGGGAGGAAAGUCCGAGCACCUCAUGGAUCGGAGUGCCUGCUAACGGCAGGGCGGGGCGACCCGACGGAAAGUGCAACAGAAAGCAAACCGCCCCGAUGCGAGAAAUCGAAUCGGGGUAAGGAUGAAAGGGUGCGGUAAGAGCGCACCGCCCGGAUGGCGACAUGCGGGGCACGGCAAACCCCACUCGGUGCAAGACCAAAUAGGGAAGCGAUGACCGGAUCCGGGUAGCUUCCGGGUUGGUCGCUUGAGCCUGCGGGCAACUGCAGGCCUAGAUGGAUGGCCGUCGCCGACUUUCGUAAUGGAAGGCGGUACAGGACUCGGCUUACAGUCCGCCUCGCGGC